GUAGUCUCGCACAGAUGCAUAUCAAUAAGCGGAGGAAAAGAAACUAACAAGGAUUCCCCUAGUAACGGCGAGUGAAGCGGGAAGAGCUCAAAUUUGAAAUCUUAAAGGGUUUCCCUUUACGAAUUGUAGUUUAAAGAAGUGUUUUCUGUUGAGGUUUUGGUAAAAGUUCUUUGGAAUAGGACAUCAUAGAGGGUGAGAAUCCCGUAUUUGACCUUUACUUUCAACUUUGUGAUACACUUUCAAAGAGUCGGAUUGUUUGGGAAUGCAGUCCAAAAUGGGUGGUAAAUUUCAUCUAAAGCUAAAUAUUGGCGAGAGACCGAUAGCGAACAAGUACCGUGAGGGAAAGAUGAAAAGAACUUUGAAAAGAGAGUUAAACAGUACGUGAAAUUGUCAAAAGGGAAGCGUUUGACACCAGUGUUGUUUUUCUGAAAUCAAUUAAAGAACUGUUUAUGCUAAGUUGUUUAGACUUUAUCAGCUAUCUGUUUAGUUUUGAGCUUUUCUUUAAUGCACUUUUCAGUUAACAAGUCAACAUCAAUUUCUUUUGCUGUAAAAAAGCUUGAGGAAGGUGGCUUGAGAUUCGUCUUAAGUGUUUAUAGCCUCUUGCCUAUGCAGUCGGAGAGAUUGAGGUCUGCAGCGUAGAUCCUUCGGGGCUAAAUGCAUUUGUGCUAAGUUAUAGCAUUUUAUAGACAACUUGUUGACUAUGAUUUGUCUUGUAGCUUACUCGCUUAUGUUAUUUUACCUACGCUUAGGAUGUUGAUCUGUAGUGCGUGCGC
rnacentral:rRNA from 1 species